rnacentral:tRNA from 1 species
AGAGUUUUAAGUUAAUUUUAAACUGCGAAUUUUCAAGAUUCGUAAUAAAUAAGGUGUUUAAAUUCUG